AACGCACAUUGCGCUCUCUGGUAUUCCGGAGAGCAUGCUUGUUUGAGUAUCAGUAAAAACCCUCAGCCUUUUGGAUGUGUUUUUUUUUGUUUUGAAAAUCCCCUAACUGUCCUUUGGGCUAAUUGGAGAUGGAAAAAAUAAAAAAACGAAUUCUGAAAAAAAGCGCUGGAUUUGAGCAAAAUUCCAUGAAUUAAAGUCUUAACGAAUGGAUGCUUGAAAUACAGGUUCGGUCUGACGAUUGGGCUAUAAGCACUUUAUAUUUUAACCCUAAGGGAGGAUAUCCUUUGCUGCCUGCCCAUCACUAGGUGGUCGUCAGUGUCGACUGAAUGCAGGAAGGUGUUGUUCUUCAAAAAAACAACCCUCAAUCUCGAUCUCAAAUCAAGUAAGACUACCCGCUGAACUUAA
rnacentral:misc_RNA from 1 species